GGAAGUAAAAGUCGUAAUAAGGUUUCUGUGGGUGAACCUGCAGAAGGAUCAUU
rnacentral:rRNA from 1 species